GCCAGUGUGGUGUAGUGGUUUGAGCAUUGGACUAUGACUCUGGAGACCAGGGUUCGAAUCCUUGCUCAGCCA